UUGAAACACUGGUUCUCGUACGAUCACCAAAGUUAAGCAACGUCGGGAGUUGUCAGUAUCUAGAUGGGUGACCGCUUGGGAAUACCAGGUGCUGUAA